rfam:Apaloderma vittatum contig81540, whole genome shotgun sequence.
GGCUGGUUAGCUCAGUCAGUAGAGCGUAGCGCUAAGAACGCUAAGGUCGCAGGUUCAUUUCCCACUCGGUCC